rnacentral:rRNA from 1 species
UACGAGGGGGGCGAGCGUUGUUCGGAAUUAUUGGGCGUAAAGGGUGCGUAGGCGGCCUGACAAGUCUGAUGUGAAAUCCCUGGGCUCAACCCAGGGCCUGCAUCGGAAACUGUCGGGCUUGAGUAUGGGAGAGGUGAGUGGAAUUUCCGGUGUAGCGGUGAAAUGCGUAGAUAUCGGAAGGAACACCUGUGGCGAAAGCGGCUCACUGGACCAUCACUGACGCUGAGGCACGAAAGCUAGGGGAGCAAACAGG